AAUCAACGCUGGCGGCGUGCCUCAGACAUGCAAGUCGAACGCGAAAGGUUCCUUCGGGAACCGAGUAGAGUGGCGUCCGGGUGAGUAACACGUGGGUAAUCUACCUUCGGGUGGGGAAUAACGACCGGAAACGGUCGCUAAUACCGCAUAAUGCAGCGGCACCUAAUGGUGACAGUUGUUAAAGCGGGGGAUCGCAAGACCUCGCGCCUGAAGAGGAGCCCGCGGCGGAUUAGCUAGUUGGCAGGGUAACGGCCUACCAAGGCGACGAUCCGUAGCCGGCCUGAGAGGGCGGUCGGCCACACUGGCACUGACACACGGGCCAGACUCCUACGGGAGGCAGCAGUCGGGAAUUUUGGGCAAUGGGGGAAACCCUGACCCAGCAACGCCGCGUGAAGGAUGAAGUAUUUCGGUAUGUAAACUUCGAAAGAAUAGGAAGAAUUAAUGACGGUACUAUUUAUAAGGUCCGGCUAACUACGUGCCAGCAGCCGCAGUAAG
rnacentral:rRNA from 1 species